rnacentral:antisense_RNA from 1 species
AGCCUGAACUUUCUCAUCUAACACCUGUUCAAGUCGGAGGAUGCUGAUUAAUUCAUGAUGGAAAGGUAUCAAUUUCACAGCCCAGACUUCUACAUUCUUGAAAUGCUGUUCUCAUGGGAGACAUUAAAUAAGCUUUGAAAUAACUGAGACGUCUGUGGAUUCUAUAACUCAAAGACCCAGGCUGAUGGCUGGUGGAAUAGCUACCAUCUCAAACAUGGCGUGAUGCUGCAUCAGAGGGAAAAAUAAGCUCUUGCACUGGCAAUGAAAUGUCUACCCUGUAGUGACUUGUGCUUACUUCCACUCACAAAUGAUUGCCCAGAGCUACUUACCUGGCUCCAAUCUACCACUGGGACCUUGUAUUGAAGACAGCAUAACCCCCAAGAGGAAAGGAGCUUGGAGCCCUGAAUCAGAGUAGAAGACAGGCUGAACACCAGCCUUGGACUGUUGUGUGAAUGAAAAACAAGUUUUGAGAUUUGUGUGGUUUACUUAUUAUAGUUACUGUUAUUAUUAAAGUUUUUCACUGCUUUACUCUCA